AAGGACUUAAGUUAAAGAAACUAUUAGCCUUCAAAGUUACAAAUAAAAGUUAUUAACCUUUUAGGCCUUA
rnacentral:tRNA from 1 species